UGGGGAAUAUUGCACAAUGGACGGAAGUUUGAUGCAGCGACGCCGCGUGGAGGGUGUAGGCCUUCGGGUUGUAAAGCUCUGUGAUCCGGGACGAAAGAGCCUGAGGUGAAUAGCCUAAGGAAGUGACGGUACCGGAAAAGCAAGCCACGGCUAACUACGUGCCAGCAGCCGCGGUAAUACGUAGGUGGCAAGCGUUGUCCGGAAUUAUUGGGCGUAAAGCGCGCGCAGGCGGCUUCCUAAGUCCAUCUUAAAAGUGCGGGGCUUAACCCCGUGAUGGGAUGGAAACUGGGAAGCUGGAGUAUCGGAGAGGAAAGUGGAAUUCCUAGUGUAGCGGUGAAAUGCGUAGAGAUUAGGAAGAACACCGGUGGCGAAGGCGACUUUCUGGACGAAAACUGACGCUGAGGCGCGAAAGCGUGGGGAGCAAACAGG
rnacentral:rRNA from 1 species